CUGUCUAGUCGAGUUACAGUCACUAAAUUAUUUUUAUCUGGAGCUACAAAGCUCCAAAUUAAGAUCCGUUAAUUUUUCCUGAAACUAGACUCACAUAUCUUCUUACCAUAAAAUUUUUAGAAUUUUUAGUUUAGCAAAAUAGUACAGUUUAUUCUUUAAAGUUUCCUCUGUUUUGCUGUCUGACAGUUCCGACCACUCUUCACUAAAAAUGAAUUAUCUAAUUGUACAGAAUUCUAAGCAUAUGAAUUGUAACUCAUAAUUAUUUUUAUUCAAUUUUUGAUGAUUUUCCAAAGUCAGAACAGGGGAACCCGAAAUCAUUCUGACAUUUUCUCACAAAUUUUAUUAUAACUCAUAAUUUACAAUUCUAUUGCUUACACCGUUUCUUCUAUAAGAAACUAGACUCAAUAACCUUUAAUUUCAUAUUUUACUCAUCUUCUAAUUCGAUUCCCACGAUUUUUGGUGAUUUUUCAAAGUUGGCACACUGCUGCUGCCCAAAACUGUUUUAGUGCAACAUAUUGAUUACCAUUUUGACCCUAAACUUUUAACACAUGACAAUUUCAUCCCUAGGCUCUGAAAAUGAAAUUCUUGCAAUUUAAUCCUUGAUCCAAGCCUAAUAAUUCUCAUACAUAUCAAUAACAGCCCAUGGAUUCCAUGAAAUUUUAGAAUUUUUCCACAACUUCAAUACUUUAAAAC
rnacentral:lncRNA from 1 species